rnacentral:tmRNA from 1 species
GGGGAUGAAAGUUUCGAUGAUUAGUUCUUUAAAACAAUGCAAGUUGAGUAUUCUGGAAUCUCAAAAAACUUCCAGAAAACAAUAAUUGCUAAUUUUUCAAAUAAGCAACCAGCACUAGCAUACGCUUAAUGCUGCAUCUUUACUAUUAAUUCUCGAUAAGUAGAUAAAGGUGUUAUAUAAUCGAGAUAGACAAUUAUUUUAGCUUUAGAAUAAUUGUUGAGAUAAAUUAAAGCUCGGAUAUUAGAAUUUCGCUUAUCUUUUAUUUAAUAUUUUAAAAGGGCUUGCCCGCCAAGAUAAGACAAACUUGUAGAUUUGUUUUUUAAGAAUUUUUCAGACGAGGAUUCAACUCCUCCAUCUCCACUA